GACGAACGCUGGCGGCGUGCUUAACACAUGCAAGUCGAACGGAAAGGCCCUGCUUUUGUGGGGUGCUCGAGUGGCGAACGGGUGAGUAACACGUGAGUAACCUGCCCUUGACUUUGGGAUAACUUCAGGAAACUGGGGCUAAUACCGGAUAGGAGCUCCUGCUGCAUGGUGGGGGUUGGAAAGUUUCGGCGGUUGGGGAUGGACUCGCGGCUUAUCAGCUUGUUGGUGGGGUAGUGGCUUACCAAGGCUUUGACGGGUAGCCGGCCUGAGAGGGUGACCGGCCACAUUGGGACUGAGAUACGGCCCAGACUCCUACGGGAGGCAGCAGUGGGGAUAUUGCACAAUGGGCGGAAGCCUGAUGCAGCAACGCCGCGUGCGGGAUGACGGCCUUCGGGUUGUAUACCGCUUUCGCCUGUGACGAAGCGUGAGUGACGGUAAUGGGUAAAGAAGCACCGGCUAACUACGUG
rnacentral:rRNA from 1 species